rnacentral:rRNA from 1 species
GACGAACGCUGGCGGCGUGCCUAAUACAUGCAAGUAGAACGCUGAAGGAGGAUCUUGCUUCUCUGGAUGAGUUGCGAACGGGUGAGUAACGCGUAUGUAACCUGCCUGAUAUCGGGGGAUAACUAUUGUAAACGAUAGCUAAUACCGCAUAUUAUUGACUAUUGCAUGAUAUUCAGUUUAAAGUUGCAACUGCACCACUACCAGAUGGAGCUGCGUUGUAUUGGCUAGUGGUUGGGGUAACGGCUCACCAAGGCGACGAUACAUACCCGACAGGAGAGGGGGGUGGGCGAACCUGGGAAUGAGAACCGGGCCAGAGUCCUGAGGGAGGCAGCAGUAGGGAAUCGUGGGUAAUAGACGGAAGUCUGAACGAGGAACGCCGCGUGAGUGAAGAAGGUUGUCGGAUCGUAAAGUUCUGUCGUCAGAGAAGAACGAGUGUGAGAGUGGAAAGCUCACAUUGUGACGGUAGCUUAAGAGAAAGCGACGGCUAACUACGUG